UGGCGGACGGGUGAGUAACGCGUGGGCAACCUGCCCCAUACACGGGGGAUAACAGCCGGAAACGGCUGCUAAUACCGCAUAAGCGCACGGGACCGCAUGGUUCUGUGUGAAAAACAAUAGUGGUAUGGGAGGGGCCCGCGUCUGAUUAGCCAGUUGGCCGGGGUAGAGGCCCACCAAAGCGACGAUCAGUAGCCGGCCUGAGAGGGCGGACGGCCACAUUGGGACUGAGACACGGCCCAAACUCCUACGGAAGGCAGCAG
rnacentral:rRNA from 1 species